rnacentral:rRNA from 1 species
UACGUAGGGGGCAAGCGUUGUCCGGAUUUAUUGGGCGUAAAGAGCGUGUAGGCGGCCAGGUAGGUCCGUUGUGAAAACUCGAGGCUCAACCUCGAGACGCCGAUGGAAACCAUCUGGCUAGAGUCCGGAAGAGGAGAGUGGAAUUCCUGGUGUAGCGGCUAAAUGCGCAGAUAUCAGGAGGAACAUCGGUGGCGAAGGCGGGUCUCUGGGCAACAACUGACGCUGAGGAGCGAAAGCGUGGGGAGCGAACAGG